GUCUCUUGCUCCAGCCAGAGCUCGAGGUUAGCUCUUCACUGCCCUGUGUCUUCUUUCCAAGGGUCUCGGUGAUUCGGCCACAGCCUCAGCCUCCAUCACGCGGUGAACUGAUGGUGCUGGAAGAUUCAUAGACUCCAGGACAUUCCUGAAGCCGAGAAAAGGUUAAGUAGGGUCUGGCCUGGAAUACUCUCCUAGAUGAAGAUAGCCCAACCAUGAGCCACCUUCGAAGCAGAUGAGAUGAAAUUAAAGCUCUUCAACUCCUAAAGGCCCAGAGACUAUCACAAAAGAGGUCAGAAAUCCUGAAGGUCACUUUCUGACAAACUCAGGAACCCCAGGUUUAUCUUGGAGCCUCAAGAGGAGAUAAAUUCACCCAACUCAGGCUGGAGUGCAGUGGAAUGAUCUUGGCUCACUUCCGUCUCCGCCUUCCAGUUUCAAGUGAUUCUCCUGCCUCAGCCUACUGAGUAGUUGGGAUUACAGGUGCCUGCCACCACACCCAGCUAAUUUUUGUAUUUUUAGUAAAGAUGGGGUUUCACCAUGUUGGCCAGGCUGGUCUCAAACUCCUGACGUCAUGAUCUGCCCGCUUCAGUCUCCCAAAGUGUGAUUACAGAGUUUUGCUCUUGGUGCCCAGGCUGGAGUGCAUUGGCACGAUCUCUGGCUCACUGUGACCUCUGCCUCCCAGAUUCAAGUGAUUCUCCUGCCUCAGCCUCCUGAGUAGCUGGGAUUACGGGCAUGUGCCCCCAUGCCUGGCUAAUUUUGAAUUUUUAGUAGAAACAGGGUUUCUCCAUGUUGGUCAGGCUGGUCUUGAACUGCCAACCUCAGGUGAUCUGCCCACUUUGGCCUCCCAAAGUGCUGGGAUUACAG
rnacentral:lncRNA from 1 species